rnacentral:misc_RNA from 1 species
GAAGCAUCAGUUUUUUGACUUCUUUCAAUACAACAAGAUAAGCGGAGGGGAGAGCUGAAAUGGCUAGGUUGCCACUUGGGUCGUCGCCGAUUGACAUCGCCGGUCCGGUGACCAACUGGUGGGACCACGUCAACGAAUCCGUUCAGUGGCAAGAUGGGAUUUUCUACUCCCUUUGUGCUUCCUAUGGUCUUGUUUCAGCAGUUGCCCUAAUUCAAUUAAUACGAAUUGAUUUGAGGGUACCCGAGUAUGGCUGGACAACACAAAAGGUGUUCCAUCUGAUGAACUUUGUUGUAAAUGGAGUUCGUGCAAUUGUCUUUGGAUUUCACAAACAUGUUUUUCUGCUCCAUUAUAAGGUGCUGACUCUGGCAAUAUUGGACCUACCAGGGCUCCUUUUCUUUUCAACAUUCACACUCCUUGUUCUAUUUUGGGCUGAGAUAUAUCACCAG